GUGCUCGCUUCGGCAGCACAGAUACUAAAAUUGGAACGAUACAGAGAAGAUUAGCGUGGCCCCUGCGCAAGGGUGACACGCAAAUUCGUGAAGAAGAGUUAAUACCU
rnacentral:snRNA from 1 species